rnacentral:rRNA from 1 species
UACGUAGGUGGCAAGCGUUGUCCGGAUUUAUUGGGUUUAAAGGGUGCGUAGGCGGCCCUGUAAGUCAGUGCUGAAAUAUCCCGGCUUAACCGGGAGGGUGGCAUUGAUACUGGCGGGGCUAGAGUACAGAUGAGGUAGGCGGAAUUGACGGUGUAGCGGUGAAAUGGCGUAGAUAUCGAGAGGAACACCAAUGGCGAAGGCAGCUUGCUGGGACGGUACUGACGCUGGAGG